rnacentral:SRP_RNA from 1 species
GCUGGGUGCAGUGGCACACACCUGUAGUAGUCUCAGCUACUCACAAGGCUAACGCAGGAGGAUUACUUGAGCCCAGGAGUUCUGGGCUAUCGUGCACUAUGGCAAUCAGGUGUCUGCACUAAGUCCAAUGUCAAAUGGUGACCUCCUGGCAGUGGGGGACCACCAUGUUGCCUAAGAACAGGUGAAUAUGUGAAUAGACCCAGGUCAGAAACAGAGCAGGUCAAAACUCUUGUGCUAAUCAGUUGUGGGAUCAUGCCUGUGCAUAGCCACUGCACUCCAGCCUGGGUGACAUAGUGAGACCCCAUCUCU